rnacentral:rRNA from 1 species
AUUGAACGCUGGCGGCAUGCUUUACACAUGCAAGUCGAGCGGCAGCGCGGGGGCAACCCUGGCGGCGAGCGGCGAACGGGUGAGUAAUGCAUCGGAACGUAUCCUCGAGUGGGGGAUAACCCAGCGAAAGUUGGGCUAAUACCGCAUGAGCUCUGAGGAGGAAAGCGGGGGACCUGCGAGGGCCUCGCGCUGGAGGAGCGGCCGAUGUCCGAUUAGCUAGUUGGUGGGGUAAAGGCUUACCAAGGCGACUAUCGGUAGCUGGUCUGAGAGGAUGAUCAGCCACACUGGGACUGAGACACGGCCCAGACUCCUACGGGAGGCAGCAGUGGGGAAUUUUGGACAAUGGGGGCAACCCUGAUCCAGCCAUGCCGCGUGAGUGAAGAAGGCCUUCGGGUUGUAAAGCUCUUUCGGACGGAACGAAAUGGGCGGGACUAAUACUCCUGUCUGAUGACGGUACCGUAAGAAGAAGCACCGGCUAACUACGUG